ensembl:lncRNA
AUUACAACAUAUUUUUCCAAAUAGCAUUACAACUACAAAGCUGGCGCUGGCUAGCUAGCUUAUUUUCAUUGAAAUAGCAUGGCUAGUUAGCUAACUAGCAAUAGUCUUCUGUCUAGCCUGUAACUAAUGGUUGUUACGUUGUGGGACAGAGCAAUAGUUCUUUUGUACUUGUCAUUUGGCUGAGACUAACAUUAGUUUAGAAAAUAAUUGUUUACUUUGUAUAUUUGUUUUGUAAUUGGUUGGCUUUGCUAAGUAUCAAGCUGAGAUUUAUUUGCUCAAGUUAGCUAACUUAGCUAUUAGCUAAUGUUUCAGGAGAACAUGCUAGCUCCCUGCAGAAUCUAGACCAUAGAGAAUGGGGAAUAAGAUCUGGCUGUUGCAGUGCCCAGACAAGGUGAGAGAACUGCUACAGAUAUAAAAAUGUAAGAUCUCUAUCUUGAGUAGCUAUAUUUCAAGGUUGAACCAUGCAAUAGAUAUUUUAUUGGCUUGCUAAAUGAGCUGCUUUUCCUGAAAAUGUAUAUCUGAUAAAGCUACAAUCUAGAACUUUAAAAGUUAUUCAGCUGUCCCGUAGAAUAACUUUUUGAAGAACCGUUGUUGGUGCCAAGUAGAACCACUUUUGAUUCCAGUUGGGUUCUACCUGGAACCAAAAAGGGUUAUACUAAGGGGACAGCUGAAGAACACUUUUGGAACCCCUUUUUCUAAGAGUGAAUCUAGAUGUUGUUCUAAUGCAAUGUCCAUGUUACUGCCACAACAUGAUGAUCAUGUAGUCAAACAUCUGAAGUCUAGCGAGGAGGAGAAAAGCCUGCUUUGGAUCAGCUGUCACGUUCGUCAUAUGAAUCGGACCAAGGUGCAGCGUGGAAUCUCCGAAUGCUAUGUUGAAUGAGCACCAUGGAUUAAGGAAGGGGAGGAAAACAGACAGCUUCUUUCUACCACAUCUUCACCAAGUCAUACAAUGUUUGCUUCAUGAACAAUUCUUACAUCUGAAAUAAAUACAGAAUCAUUUUAGUUUAUUCUGUUCCUAAUGCUGGAUGUGAGUAAUUU